rnacentral:rRNA from 1 species
UACAAACAUCUGGUCCAAACUGGGCUUCAUUAUCCCUACAAAUUUCUUUGGAAAACAAAGAUGCCUACCAGGGUUAAGGUCUUCUUAUGGCUGCUGCCGAGAAAAAGUAUUCUCACCAAGGAAAACUUGAAAAAAAGAGGAUGGCAGGGAGACACCAAAUGUUCCUUCUAUGGUCGAGAAGAAGAUAUAGAGCAUCUCUUUAUACAUUGCUCAGUGGCAAAUAUGUUAUGGAUGGUCAUGAAAUGCUCCUUUGAUAUACACGAUGUUCUUGAUAAAAUUAAUGAUAUAUUUGGUACAUGGAUAAAUAAGUUUGAGAAAAAUGAUAAGAGUCUUAUGACAGUGGGAAUAUCUGCCAUGUUAUGGAUGAUGUGGAAAUUGAGAAAUAGAUUAGUUUUUGAUAACCACAGGGUUUUUGAUCCUUGUGUUCCAGUGAAUUUGAUUAUCAAGAAUUUACAUGAAUGGUGUGUGUUGCAGAAAAACCAAGGAAGAACAAAUCGCAUGAAGGAGGGUGUAAGACAAGUUGAGCAGGUUGCUAGGGAGAUCUUCAAGGCGACGCAUGGAUGGACGACCGGAGUGUUGGGACUCGUAGCAUAA